ensembl:snRNA U6 U6 spliceosomal RNA
GUGCUCACUUUAGCAACACAUAUACUAAAACUGGAAUGAUACAGAAAAGAUUAGCAUGGCCCCUGUGCACGGAUGACACGCAAAUUCAUGACGUGUUUCUUGUUUUU